rnacentral:rRNA from 1 species
CCUACGGGGGGCAGCAGUGGGGAAUAUUGGACAAUGGGCGAAAGCCUGAUCCAGCCAUGCCGCGUGUGUGAAGAAGGCCUUCGGGUUGUAAAGCACUUUCAGUGGGGAAGAAAGCCUUGGGGCUAAUACCCUCGAGGAAGGACAUCACCCACAGAAGAAGCACCGGCUAACUCCGUGCCAGCAGCCGCGGUAAUACGGAGGGUGCGAGCGUUAAUCGGAAUUACUGGGCGUAAAGCGCGCGUAGGCGGUCUGAUAAGCCGGUUGUGAAAGCCCCGGGCUCAACCUGGGAACGGCAUCCGGAACUGUCAGGCUAGAGUGCAGGAGAGGAAGGUAGAAUUCCCGGUGUAGCGGUGAAAUGCGUAGAGAUCGGGAGGAAUACCAGUGGCGAAGGCGGCCUUCUGGACUGACACUGACGCUGAGGUGCGAAAGCGUGGGUAGCGAACAGGAUUAGAUACCCGUGUAGUC